AGAGUUUGAUCCUGGCUCAGGAUGAACGCUGGCGGCGUGCCUAAUACAUGCAAGUCGAGCGAACGGACGAGAAGCUUGCUUCUCUGAUGUUAGCGGCGGACGGGUGAGUAACACGUGGAUAACCUACCUAUAAGACUGGGAUAACUUCGGGAAACCGGAGCUAAUACCGGAUAAUAUUUUGAACUGCAUGGUUCAAAAGUGAAAGACGGUCUUGCUGUCACUUAUAGAUGGAUCCGCGCUGCAUUAGCUAGUUGGUAAGGUAACGGCUUACCAAGGCAACGAUGCAUAGCCGACCUGAGAGGGUGAUCGGCCACACUGGAACUGAGACACGGUCCAGACUCCUACGGGAGGCAGCAGUAGGGAAUCUUCCGCAAUGGGCGAAAGCCUGACGGAGCAACGCCGCGUGAGUGAUGAAGGUCUUCGGAUCGUAAAACUCUGUUAUUAGGGAAGAACAUAUGUGUAAGUAACUGUGCACAUCUUGACGGUACCUAAUCAGAAAGCCACGGCUGACUACGUGCCAGCAGCCGCGGUAAUACGUAGGUGGCAAGCGUUAUCCGGAAUUAUUGGGCGUAAAGCGCGCGUAGGCGGUUUUUUAAGUCUGAUGUGAAAGCCCACGGCUCAACCGUGGAGGGUCAUUGGAAACUGGAAAACUUGAGUGCAGAAGAGGAAAGUGGAAUUCCAUGUGUAGCGGUGAAAUGCGCAGAGAUAUGGAGGAACACCAGUGGCGAAGGCGACUUUCUGGUCUGUAACUGACGCUGAUGUGCGAAAGCGUGGGGAUCAAACAGGAUUAGAUACCC
rnacentral:rRNA from 1 species